UGGGGAAUAUUGGACAAUGGGCGCAAGCCUGAUCCAGCCAUACCGCGUGGGUGAAGAAGGCCUUCGGGUUGUAAAGCCCUUUGUUGGGAAAGAAAUCCAGCUGGUUAAUACCCGGUUGGGAUGACGGUACCCAAAGAAUAAGCACCGGCUAACUUCGUGCCAGCAGCCGCGGUAAUACGAAGGGUGCAAGCGUUACUCGGAAUUACUGGGCGUAAAGCGUGCGUAGGUGGUCGUUUAAGUCUGUUGUGAAAGCCCUGGGCUCAACCUGGGAACUGCAGUGGAAACUGGACGACUAGAGUGUGGUAGAGGGUAGCGGAAUUCCUGGUGUAGCAGUGAAAUGCGUAGAGAUCAGGAGGAACAUCCAUGGCGAAGGCAGCUACCUGGACCAACACUGACACUGAGGCACGAAAGCGUGGGGAGCAAACAGGAUUAGAUACCCUGGUAGUCCACGCCCUAAACGAUGCGAACUGGAUGUUGGGUGCAAUUUGGCACGCAGUAUCGAAGCUAACGCGUUAAGUUCGCCGCCUGGGGAGUACGGUCGCAAGACUGAAACUUAAAUGAAUUGACGGGGUCAUAGCUGUUUCCGU
rnacentral:rRNA from 1 species